GUUAGGUGUAGUAUAACCCGGUAUCAACAGGGUUAGGUGUAGUAUAACCCGGUAUCAACAGGGUUAGGUGUAGUAUAACAUGGUAUCAACAGGGUUAGGUGUAGUAUAACACGGUAUCAACAGGGUUAGGUGUAGUAUAACACGGUAUCAGGGUUAGGUGUAGUAUAACACGGUAUCAACAGGGUUAGGUGUAGUAUAACACG